rnacentral:tRNA from 1 species
GAUGCGUUAGCUCAGCCUGGCCGGAGCGCCCGCUUGUCGCGCGGGAGGUCACGGGUUCGACUCCCGUACGCAUCGCCA